CCCUCUUAGCUGAGGGCAGAGAGCCUAAGGUUCAAGGGAGCAGAGGGGAGUAUCUGGAAGUCCUCAGCAUGGUGAAUGAAACAAGUUCUUCCUCUGGAGGUGGAUAGCAUUCUUUUUGAUAUGUCUCUCAGAAUUGUCCUGGAUCAUUAUAUUACUUACCUUUGCCACAAACAAAGCCAAUAACUUGGUGUCAUAAAAUCCUAAUGACGCUGCAAGAUCCUGGGGACAUGUGCAUAUGAAAAUGACUCUGAAGGAUGGGGAUGCCUCUGCUCUGUCUUACCUUGGAUGCAGACAGUUCGAGCAACAUUAUCACCAUCAUUAAGAACUGGAAAGGACCUUGAAGACCACCUGGUCCAACACCCUUUAUUUCAAAGACGAGGAAAUAGACCCGAGAGAUUAAGGUCCAAGCAGCUCUCUCACCAUGUGGGCAAGCAGAAGAGCCAAAACUUUCCAUGUGUGGAUUUUCAAAUCUUGCAUCUGUCUCACAACUGAAGGCAGAGAUAAAUUCCUUCAAGCAACUGGAAAAUCCAUAAUUGAUAUGAAGCAUAAGUUUCAAGGUGGAAGAGUGCUAAGGGUGCUGAGGAUGGAAGUAUAAAAAGUGAAACAAUCCCUACCCACAAAGAGCUUACACUGUAUUGGGGAUAAAUAAGCUACACUAUCUUACCAAUGAUGACAUCAUGGAUAUCUCAAGGAUGUGUAUUGACAAGAAAUUUAUGAGUUGGUUUUAUAGCAUGAGUGAAGAAUGGAUAGCCUGAGUUGCAUUGAUAGUCCCAAAAUACCAGAGGAAGGCCAAUAUAUUGUGGAAAUAUGCUGUGGAGAAUUUAUGGACAAAAAUCACCAAAUAUGAGGUGAUGGAAAAAAGAAAUUGAAGGGAUUAAAAUAGGCAAUGAGGUGAUUAAACUAUCAUUCUUUGCAUAUGAUAUGAUGGUCUACUUAAAGAUCCUAGAGAACCAACUAAAAAGCUAGUGGAAAUUAUCAACAACUUUAGCAAAGUUGCAGGAUACAAAAUAAAUCCACAUAAAUCAUCAGCAUUUCUAUAUAUCUCCAACACAACUCAGCAGCAAGAGUUAGAAAGAGAAAUACCAUUUAAAAUCACCCUAGACAAUAUAAAAUAUUUAGGAAUCUAUUUGCCAAGACAAGCACAGGAAUUAUAUGAACACAACUACAAAACAUUUUCCACACAACUAAAACUAGAUCUAAAUAAUUGGAAAAACAUUAAUUGCUCAUAAAUAUAAAUAGCUCAAGCUAACAUAAUAAAAAUGACAAUCCUACCCAAGUUAAUUUAUUCAGUGCCAUACCGAUCAAACUACCAAGAAACUUUUUUAUUGAAUUAGAAAAAAUUAUAACAAAGUUCAUUUGGAAGAACAAAAGAUCAAGAAUAUGAAGGGAAAUAAUGAAAAAAAAAUGUGGAAGAUGGUAGUCUGCAGUACCAGAUCUUCUUAAAAUGUACUAUAAAGCAAUGGUCAUCAAAACAAUAUGGUACUACUAUCUAAGAGACAGAGGGGAGGAUCAAUGGAAUAGACCUGGGGUAAAUGUUCUCAGCAAUAUAGUAAAUGAUAAACCCAAAGAUACCAGUGUUUGGGACAAGAACCUAGUGUUUGACACAAUCUGUCAGAAAAAAUUGGAGAACAGUAUGGGAGUGAUUAGGUUUAGAACAACAUCUCACACCCUAUACCAAGAUAAAUUCAGAAUUGGCAAACAACUUAAAUAUAAAGAAGGAAACAAUAAGUAAAUUAGGUGAAUAUAGAAUAAUAUACCAGUCAGAUCUAUAGGAAAGGAAAGAAUUUAAGACCAAGCAAGAGAUAGAGAAUAUUAAGAGAUGUAAAAUGAAGAGUUUUGAUUACAUUAAAUUAAAAAGGGUUUGUAUAAACAAAACCAAUGUAACCAAAAUUAGAAGGAAACAAGCAAAUUGGGAAAAAAUCUUUAUAACAAAAACCUCUGACAAAGGUCUAAUUUCUCAGAUUUAUAAGGCGUUAAAUCAAUUGUACAAAAAAAUCAAGCCAUUCCCCAAUUGAUAAAUCGAGGCACAUGAAUAGGCAGUUUUCAGAUAAAGAAAUCAAAACUAUCAAUAAGCACAAGAAAAAGUGGUCUGAAUUUCUUAUAAUUAGAGAUAUGCAAAUCAAAACAACUCUGAGGUACAACCUCACACCUAGCAGGUUGGCUAAUAUGACAGCAAAGGAAAGUAAUAAAUGUUGGAGGGGUUGUGGCAAAAUUGGGACACUAAUGCAUUGCUGGUGGAGUUGUGAAUUGAUCCAACCAUUCUGGAAGACAAUUUGGUAUUAUGUCCAAAGGGCUUUAAAAGAAUGCCUGCCCUUUGACCCAGCCAUACCACUGCUGGGAUUAUAUCCUAAAGAAAUAAUAGGGAAAAUACUUGUAUAAAAAUAUUCAUAGCCAUGCUCUUUGUGGUAGCAAAACACUGGAAAAUGAGGGGAUGUUCUUCGAUUGGGGAAUGGCUGAAAAAAUUGUGGUAUCUGUUGAUGAUGGAAUACUAUUGUGCUGAAAGGAAUGAUGAACUGAAGGAAUUCCAUGUGAACUGGAAUGACCUCCAGGAACUGAUUCAGAGUGAAAGGAGCAGAACCAGGAGAACAUUUUACACAGAGACUGAUAGAUUGUAGCAUAAUUGAAUGUAAUGGACUUCUCUACUAGCAGAAAUUCAAUGAUCAAGGACAAUUCUGAGGGACUUAUGAAAAAGAACACUAUCCACAUCCAGUGAAAGAACAGUGGGAGUAGAAAAACUGAAGAAAUACAACUACUUGAUUAAAUGGGUUGAGAGGGAUAUGACUGGGGAUGUAGACUCUAAACCAUCAUUCUAUAGCAAAUAUUAAUGAUAUGGAAAUAGGUCUUGAUCAGUGAUACAUGUAAAACCCAGUUGAAUUGUUCAUUGGCUACAGGAGGGGGGAAGGAGUAGAGAAGGGAAAGACCAUGAAUCAUAUAACCAUGGGAAAAAUAUUUUAAAUUCAUUAAAUAAAUUAAAAAAAAAACAA